ensembl:lncRNA
GUGUCUCUGUGUGUGUGUGUGUGUGUGUGUGUGGUUGUUUAGGGUGUGUGUGUGACUGUGUGAGUGUGUUUAUAUGCAUAUGUGUGUGGUUGUUUAGGGUGUGUGUGUGUGUGUCUCUCUCUCUCUCUGUGUAUGUGUGUGUGUAUGUGUGUGUAUGUGUGUGUGUGUGUGUGUUUAUAUGCAUAUGUGUGUGGUUGUUUAGGGUGUGUGUGUGACUGUGUGUGUGUGUGUUUAUAUGCAUAUGUGUGUGGUUGUUUAGGGUGUGUGUGUGACUGUGUGUGUGUGUGUGUUUAUAUGCAUAUGUGUGUGGUUGUUUAGGGUGUAUGUGUGACUGUGUGUGUGUGUGUAUGUAUAUGUAAUUGUGUGAGUGUUUUUGUCUGUGCGAGUGUGUUAAGUUGUGUGUGUGUGUGUGUGUGUGUAUGUAAUUGUGUGAGUGUUUUUGUCUGUGCAAGUGUGUUAAGUUGUGUUUGUGUGUGUGUGUGUGUGUAUGUAAUUGUGUAAGUGUUUUUGUCUGUGCGAGUGUGUUAAGUUGUGUUUGUGUGUGUGUGUGUGUGUGUGUGUAUGUAAUUGUGUGAGUGUUUUUGUCUGCGCAAGUGUGUUAAGUUGUGUUUGUGUGUUUGUGUGUGUAUGUAAUUGUGUGAGUGUUUUUGUCUGUGCGAGUGUGUUAAGUUGUGUGUGUGUGUGUGUGUAUGUAAUUGUGUGAGUGUUUUUGUCUGUGCGAGUGUGUUAAGUUAUGUUUGUGUGUGUGUAUGUAAUUGUGUGAGUGUUUUUGUCUGUGCGAGUGUGUUAAGUUGUGUUUGUGUGUGUGUGUGUGUGUAUGUAAUUGUGUAAGUGUUUUUGUCUGUGCGAGUGUGUUAAGUUGUGUGCGUGUGUUUGUGUGUGUAUGUAAUUGUGUGAGUGUUUUUUUCUGUGCGAGUGUGUUAAGUUGUGUUUGUGUGUGUGUGUAUGUAAUUGUGUGAGUGUUUUUGUCUGUGUGAGUGUGUUAAGUUAUGUUUGUGUGUGUGUAUGUAAUUGUGUGAGUGUUUUUGUCUGUGCGAGUGUGUUAAGUUGUGUUUGUGUGUGUGUGUGUGUAUAUAAUUGUGUGAGUGUUUUUGUCUGUGCGAGUGUGUUAAGUUGUGUUUGUGUGUGUGUGUGUGUAUGUAAUUGUGUGAGUGUUUUUGUCUGCGCAAGUUUGUGUGCGUGUGUUUGUGUGUGUAUGUAAUUGUGUGAGUGUUUUUGUCUGUGCGAGUGUGUUAAGUUGUGUUUGUGUGUGUGUGUGUGUGUUUUUGUCUGUGAGAGUGUGUUAGGUUGUGUGUGUGUGUGUGUGCACCAAUGGCGCUGUGUCUAACCGUCUGUGCGCCUGUCAGGGUUCCAGUGUUACUGUAGGUCAACACAUGAGGAGUCAUCAGACUGACUGGAGCUUCCAGUCUGGGCUACCGUUUGCUUUAGUAAACAAAUGAAGUAGCUUUCUCUCCGGAGGACUUCUGACACACUGAGCUCCUGCAGCUGGCUUCAUCCCUUCUGAUCGCGCUCAGCAGUCGAGCAGAACAGCAGAACAGCAGAACAACACUUUACUGUGUUCGCCAUGUGUUUCAAAUUCAUUAGCUUACUGCUGGAAAAGCAAACAUAUUCUCCAACAUGUGAAUUUCACUCCACUGCAGCUUCAGAAUACACAUCUACAUUGAUAAAUCUCCAUGUUUGUGCUGCACUUGUUGCUUGUAAUUAAACGUAAUGAACUGCAGAUGAGCCGUUGUAAUGUGAUUUAGGCAUCUAUUCAGAAAAUUGAAUUGCUUUACGAAGAAGUGAUCAUAUUUACCAUCUCAUCGCAUUCUGGAAUUCAAAUUGGUGGCUGUGCAACAAUAUUGGCAAUGCAAUAAACAUAUACCAUACCAAUAAUAACUAAAAACAGACAUGCACAAAC